ACAUAGGAGAGCACAAUGUGCUACUAAGGUACUUUCUAGUAGUUGAAUACAUGUUUGUCUUCCAUAAAGCAAACUAAGUGUGGGUAUUUGGGUAAUUAGACAUUUUUAUUCUAGUUGGGCUGGUUAGGGAAUUUAAAUUUUAAAUUUUUUAGGUUUCAGGUAGUGGACGUGAAACAGAUGUAAAAUUGAGUUUUUAGUUUUGCACAAACCUGUGAAAAAAAAAAUAAAACGCCGUGGGAGAAGACAGAGACCGCGAUUUUCGACGGAGCGACGAAUGAGAUUUCUCAUGGACAGAGAAGAUGAUGUCAUCGCGAAAGAGGAGAGUUACAAAGGGCAAAGCGAAAGAGAUAGCGGAACCACAUGAAGGAGCAGUCGCGGUUGUUUGCGACAGACAUAUACCCAAGCAAAAGGCACAAUUGUAAUUCAUUGUUGGAGUAUCUUCUUAUGGUAAGGGGCGUGCUUGAAAGGACAUAAGAGAUGGAGAAGCUUCUGGGCUUGUGCUUUGUCAACCUGUUUAGGCUAAAAACAAGAAGGGUAGUUGCGUACAUGCGUACAAAAUGAGAAAAGCUUCUGAACUCAUUUUAUGUCCUAUCUUUGAACGGUUUAUGUGUACAUGUGUACAAAGAGAGGUAGUUGUAGUCAUGGACAUUAAAGAAAAAUUGUAUACAAGUAGGGGCUGAUGAUUGUGGAAAUUGAAUCAGUCUAUGUAUAUGUAUAUUUUAAGUUGGGAUUUUGAAUUUUAUGCUUUUGUAAUGUGAAACUUGAUGGAA